rnacentral:rRNA from 1 species
GAUGAACGCUGGCGGCGUGCCUAAUACAUGCGAGUAGAACGCUGAAGGAAGGAGCUUGCUCUUUCCGGAUGAGUUGCGAACGGGUGAGUAACGCGUAGGUAACCUGCCUGGUAGCGGGGGAUAACUAUUGGAAACGAUAGCUAAUACCGCAUAACAGUAGAUGUUGCAUGAUAUCUACUUAAAAGGUGCAAUUGCACCACUACCAGAUGGACCUGCGUUGUAUUAGCUAGUUGGUGAGGUAACGGCUCACCAGGGCGACGAUACAUAGCCGACCUGCGAGGGUGAUCGGCCACACUGGGACUGAGACACGGCCCAGACUCCUACGGGAGGCAGCAGUAGGGAAUCUUCGGCAAUGGACGGAAGUCUGACCGAGCAACGCCGCGUGAGUGAAGAAGGUUUUCGGAUCGUAAAGCUCUGUUGUAAGAGAAGAACGAGUGUGAGAGUGGAAAGUUCACACUGUGACGGUAUCUUACCAGAAAGGGACGGCUAACUACGUG